UACGGAGGGUGCAAGCGUUAAUCGGAAUUACUGGGCGUAAAGCGCACGCAGGUGGCUGAGUCAGUCGAUUGUGAAAGCCCUGGGCUCAACCUGGGAAUUGCAGUCGAUACUACUCAGCUAGAGUAUGGGAGAGGGCAGUGGAAUUCCCGGUGUAGCGGUGAAAUGCGUAGAUAUCGGGAGGAACAUCAGUGGCGAAGGCGGCUGCCUGGCCCAAUACUGACACUCAGGUGCGGACAGCGUGGGGAGCGAACAGG
rnacentral:rRNA from 1 species